GGGAACAAGACAACUCUGUCGCGUCAACCGGCACCCAGACCUGGACUUUGAGCUAGACACCGGGACAGCCUCCACUGUGGAGGAACGAAGUGUGCUGAAGAACGUGCACUUCGAUCAGUACCACUCCCGAAGGAACGCAGUUGGCAGUGGCACGUAGGCGGCGACGUAGUGCACACGUGCUCGGAAGUAAGCAAGGAAAACGUCAUGUCUUUCUCUGGUGAUUUUUUUGUUGUGUGUUACUCAUGUUUUUUUUAUUAACAACAAAUCAAUACAGAAAGUACAUAAGGUUCUCUGGUGAGUUGUUUGUUUGGUGAUAGCACUGGCUUCGUAAUCGAAAUUAUAUUUUGGGAGUACUUGUCAUGGAAACAUAUUUGUGCUGUUCGCUCAUCUAACAMGACGAACCGCUUGCAAGUGAAGUGCGCGAGCGUCAAGAUAGAGUGGUGCAGGUGCACGAGCCAACACGCACAUGCAACGUUGUCUGCAGUGAGCAUUGGCUAGCUACUGUUUUAAGCCGUUAGCAAGCUACCUGGUUAGCAACUGCAGUAUAUAACUAUGACCUAGAKACAUUUUGUAGUGGUCAUGAAUGAAUAAUCACUCAUUUCUAUUUUGAGGAGACGAGUAGGCCUACCCGACACAACAGUGUACGUCAGCAACAUGGCAUUCAGAAUACUUUUUUCAAGUCUUCCAAACAAAGAAUUUGACACGGCGCCUUGUGAGCCGAGAGAUAGAUUUCAAAGGGAUGAAAGGCAACUGGAACCAGUUAAACUGGAGGAGAACGAAAGGGAUGCCCAGUCCAGAAAGUGGCCAUUGCAAAGGGGUCAACAGAGUGGCCCCAGGAAGAGGAAAAAGGGGACCAACAGGAGCAGGCCAAGAAAAGUAAGCUUCAUAAAUGCCCAUCACAAUCUUAUAAAGAKUUUGACUCUGUGGCCCGAGACUACAACAUGGUGAAGUGUGAUUUCGAGCAACCAGGCUUUGACUUCAGUAGAGACCUGGACUUCUACAGUGAUAGCAAGGAGGGUGCAUGCCCAGGUCAUGCUACAGAGAAGGAUCCUGAUCAGAACAAGGAUGUUCACGGUGUAAACGAGAAGAAAGGACGAGAGCAGAAGAAGCAGCGACGGGAGCCUCAGCAGCAGAGACUUGACAACCAGGGCAGAGGGGGAAACUGCCAGGAGGGGUGGGGAUUUUACCYGACUGGGUGGACACGGAACUAACCAGCCCAGAGACUUCUCCAACAGGGGUGGAGGUGGUUCCAACAGGGGUGGAGAGUGGAGCAAUAGAGGCCGGGGCUGUGACAAGAGGGGCGGUUUUCUCAGAAGAGGGGAUUGGUCAAAGCGAGGCACUGACCGGUCACGUAGAGGUGGACGACAGUUCCCAAAUGAUGUACGUUUAACACUGCUGAUUCCAACCUCUUCCAGGAAACUUUGACUGGAAAGGGGAAGAAGAACAUGACAAAGGAAUUCAAAGACCAGAAUGGUUUGGAGAUUGACGGAAGGUUAAUCUGUCGAAAUUUCCUCAGGGGAAAGUACAUCAAGGCAGGUUUCUGUAUUUUAUGAUUAGAAAUUGUAACAAUAUUAAUGGGCACUUGUCAUUGAACCUAAACCCAAUAUAUUGAAAUGAUAGUCAGGUAUGUUUAUGUUGACUUUUACAGUAAAUACUGUCAGUGGCCUGACCCAUUUGUAUAGAGACCCCAACAACUUAUUUUGUUUUGCWAGGUGAUGACUGCCAGUUAGAACAUGCUCUGGAAGUCAACUACUCGAUCAACGAAGUGUGUAAAUUCUACGUCCAGGAAUCCUGUUAGAAAGGAGAGKGCUGCAUAUACAU